GGGCGUAGGAUAUUUGAGAGGAUUUGUCCCUAGUACGAGAGGACCAGGAUGAACGCACCAAUUGUGUACCUGUUGUCACGCCAGUGGCAUGGCAGGAUAGCGAAGUGCGGAUGAGAUAAACGCUGAAAGCAUCUAAGCGUGAAACUCACCUCAAGAUAAGAUAUCCCAUUUCGAAAGAAAGUAAGACCCCUUAAAGACAAUGAGGUUGAUAGGUCAGGAGUGUAAGAGCAGUAAUGUUUGUAGCUAACUGAUACUAAUAGGUCGAGGGCUUAUUCUCA
rnacentral:rRNA from 1 species